rnacentral:rRNA from 1 species
CCUAACACAUGCAAGUCGAACGGUAACAGGAAGAAGCUUGCUUCUUUGCUGACGAGUGGCGGACGGGUGAGUAAUGUCUGGGAAACUGCCUGAUGGAGGGGGAUAACUACUGGAAACGGUAGCUAAUACCGCAUAACGUCGCAAGACCAAAGAGGGGGACCUUCGGGCCUCUUGCCAUCGGAUGUGCCCAGAUGGGAUUAGCUAGUAGGUGGGGUAACGGCUCACCUAGGCGACGAUCCCUAGCUGGUCUGAGAGGAUGACCAGCCACACUGGAACUGAGACACGGUCCAGACUCCUACGGGAGGCAGCAGUGGGGAAUAUUGCACAAUGGGCGCAAGCCUGAUGCAGCCAUGCCGCGUGUAUGAAGAAGGCCUUCGGGUUGUAAAGUACUUUCAGCGGGGAGGAAGGGAGUAAAGUUAAUACCUUUGCUCAUUGACGUUACCCGCAGAAGAAGCACCGGCUAACUCCGUGCCAGCAGCCGCGGUAAUACGGAGGGUGCAAGCGUUAAUCGGAAUUACUGGGCGUAAAGCGCACGCAGGCGGUUUGUUAAGUCAGAUGUGAAAUCCCCGGGCCCAACCUGGGAACUGCAUCUGAUACUGGCAAGCUUGAGUCUCGUAGAGGGGGGUAGAAUUCCAGGUGUAGCGGUGA